rnacentral:sRNA from 1 species
UUUGAGUGCAUUCCAGAUUUUUUCGUGUU